ACGUACGUCUGUGACAUUCAUUUUGAGCCUGUAGGCAUCAUAAGCUGCUAUGAGCACACCGUGAACGGUCAAACCGUAACGAUACCGCGAGGCAGGUGGACACCGAGGGAGCGCGCUGUGCCUCGAAUUUUUCCGAACGUACCUAAGCAUCUCUCGAAACCAACGGUGCCGAAGUCAACAAGAAAACCACCCAAAAUGAGGACAGUGGUUCUCGCCCAAGUUGCUUCCUGCCAAAGUGAUGAAGAUUUGUACGACGAAAUAGGCGCAUGUGACGGCAUGGAUGUUGAUGAAUGCACCGAUGUGAGCACGCUAGGAACUGCGCCCUGGCUUGCUGUUGUGCAAGGCAGCCCGACAUUUGAUUCAUGGAAUGUGUGGGAUUCUACCAUCCAAGUUAUCUUGUACAAACUCGAAGAGUCUGGGGGCGUUGUGUACAUUGAAAAGGCCGUUGUAAUCCGGGAAGACUUGGCGGUUGAAGUUAGUUCAAGAGGUGUGCUUGUCCCGCCGUGCAGCUACAUCUAGAAAGAUGGAAACAUUCCGACGCGGCUAACAAGCCAGAAGAAUUUAACAAUGCUCCUUCGCUACACCGAUGCGCUCAAUAUUUGCACUGGGUGUAAAUGUGAGCUGUUUCCAGGUGUUUCAUCGUGAACGACAGCCGUGAAAAGGCAGGGUGCAUGGCGAAACAAGAAAUGCAUGGUGCUGUCAGGUGAGCAUUUGUGCCCUCCAUGCAAAAAAACAAAAAAAACUUUGGUAAUAGAAUGAAGCAUCGCCCUAAAAAAAGCACAAACCGGAAGCCUGAAUAUGAAAUUCAAAACCUAAAGAAAAAGGCCAUCAGGGCCACUGUGUUUCGCGAAAGAGCUAGAAGAGAAGUGUCUACACUGAGACGCCGUUUGUCUAAAGUUUCAUUGAGCAAAGUUGACAAAGCACUGGAAAGUCUUCCGCAAGCACAGCCACUUGCCUUUAAUUCAGCAUAGAAACCCGCAAAGGCAAAAUCGCCGCGAUGAAGGCGUUAUGAACAGGAAUGGCUCAUGACUUGUCUUCUAUUAGGAAUUUCAAGCCCAAGAGCUUAUAGACUAAUGUCAAACAUGAAGCUUAUGCCACUUCCAACCACCACGAGGCUGAGACAAAUGAUGAAAGGAAUGCCAUGUGAAUUCGGCUUCAACAAGGUAUCUCUUGACAGUGGGGUCUUUAUGAAGAACAAAGCAGGAGUACAAUGCUACGGAACGCUAAUACUGGACGAGAUGAAGGUGCGAGAGGUUGUCGCAUUUAACAAGAGUACCUACAAGGUGGAUGGCUUCGUUGAUUAUGGAGAUGGUCAUGCCUCAGAAACAACAGCCGACCACGCUUUGGUACUCAUGUUUGUGCGUCUGUUUCACUCCUUGGUGCAACCAAUGGCAAGUUUUGCUACGAGACAUGCAGCUCCUGGAAGAGUGCUAGCAAGGCUUCCUUUAGAAGCCAUUUUGCAAUUACACAAGUACAAUGCAACUGUCGUCACUGUUAUCAGUGAUGGUGCCAGCACCAACAAGGCCAUGUGGUCAAGUUUUGGCAUCAAAGCCAAGCUUUAUCAACCGAAACACAAAGUUGACCAUCCUUGUGUACCUGAUCAGCAGCUCUACUUCCUGUGUGAUGUACCUCAUAUCAUCAAAUGCAUAAGGAACCAUCUCAUGCGUCACAAGUAUGGCAUGGUAAGUAGAUUAGAAUGUUUUACUCAUUUUUCAUGCUUGAGCAACUCUGAUUUAGGGAGUGGCUUCUGCAGUGGAACACCUUUCUUCGGCUCACUGUUGUUUUUAAAAACUGCAUAUCGGGGAACAAAAAAUAAACUUUGAUCACUGGUGAAGACUCCAAGAAGUAGAUGGGAAACAGCAGCUUCGGGUGGUUCAGAAAUUGACAAACGAGCAUGUGAGCCCAGACAACCUGCGAAAGAUGAACGGGAGUCUGGCUGUACAGCUUUUCAGCCGAAGCGCUGCCAUUGGGUUAAAGGUAUACCAGCGGUUAGAGGAGCCUGACCUGAAAGACUGCCAUGGAACUGCUCAGUUCACCCUCAUGGUGAACGACCUGUUCGAUGCCCUGAAUGUGAAGCUUCCACGGUUUGGAAUAACAAGUUCGUCAAAGGAAGUUGAAGUCAUGCAGGAGUUACUUGAUGCUGUAAAUAAGACCGAGGAAAACCAUAUCACCAAUGGGACAGUGAUGUUUGCAUCGCAAUUUACAAUGGAGUCGCUUCGAGUUACGCUUGCAUCAGUACGGGACCUUGUAAGAGAUCUCUCUAAAGGAGCGCGUUAUGUGCUCACGGGCAAACUAAACCAGGAUCCUUUAGAGAGGUUUUUUGGUGUGACAAGAAGUUAUGAAGGGGCAUGAAGAUCACCCUACCCUAAUCAGCUUUGCACACAUAUAUAGGCUUCUGAACCUGUAUACACCAAUCAGCACUUGUGUCACUGGGAACGUGAGUGAUGAGCAGGCUUUUGUGCUUGCCACAGUCGCAGACAGCAUGAAAAGGGAAAGAAAUGACACACUCUCAUCCCAUGAAAGACUCCGGGAGGGUGUUCGAGCAAAGUUGGCAGAAAUCUCUUCUACUGCACAGAAUGAAACACCGACAGCACCUGAUCAUGGGUACUCCACACCACCAGCACAGGACUGUGUUAUUUACUACUUGUGUGGCUAUCUUGUCCACUCUUACCUCAAGCACGAGAGGUGUUCUGACUGUGUACGUAGUAUCCAGUCUGAAAAUGCGGAGUGCCCAGAGGCAUUUCUCACUUUGGAGAGGGAAUUUAAGCACGGGUGCCUAAAAUUGCCAUCAUGGGAGCUCUUCUCUAGGUUUCGAGGCAUCGAAGCCAAAAUUUCGGAUGAGCUACAAAAGAAGCGGCUCUGCUCAGACACAGUUUGGUGCGUUCUCGACGCUCUUGGGGAUUGUGACAUUACUAGUGUGGGCUGUUCUGUUCACAAGGUAACCACUACGGCAGAGCUCCUUCACUCCUACAUAGUGCUAAAGACUGCAUUUCGCUGCCAGAGAUACUUGUAAAAGCUUUAGCUCUUCAGAAAAAGUCGCAUCUGCUAGAAAGAAAGUGAAGCUAACGUGAAGGCUUGCAGUACAGCUCUGUCACCGUAACCCUUGUAAAUAUGUCCCUGUAAAUAUUGUAGCUGCUGCAUUCAGUUUCAUGGCAUCAAAUAAAAGUUACAA